AGAACUAAUACUAACAUUAUAUCAUAAACUAACUAAUACGAGCUGAUACUAAUGACUAAUAGUUUAUCCACUAGCUAAUACAAAUAAGUAAAAUAAAAUUAAACAACUCCAUCAUCCUUAAUCAUGGAUCCGUCACCGAUGAAGUGGUCUAUUUUCCCCUCAGGGUGCUCAAAGAAGUCUGCCACAUCCAAGUGGGUGUUUUC
rnacentral:lncRNA from 1 species